rnacentral:rRNA from 1 species
AUUGAACGCUGGCGGCAGGCCUAACACAUGCAAGUCGCACGAGGGGCGGACGGGUGAGUAAUGUCUGGGAAACUGCCCGAUGGAGGGGGAUAACUACUGGAAACGGUAGCUAAUACCGCAUACCAUCGGAUGUGCCCAGAUGGGAUUAGCUAGUAGGUGGGGUAACGGCUCACCUAGGCGACGAUCCCUAGCUGGUCUGAGAGGAUGACCAGCCACACUGGAACUGAGACACGGUCCAGACUCCGACGGGAGGCAGCAGUGGGGAAUAUUGGACAAGGGGCGCAAGCCGGAUGCAGCCAUGCCGCGUGUAUGAAGAAGGCCUUCGGGUUGUAAAGUACUGUCAGCGGGGAGGCGUUACCCGCAGAAGAAGCACCGGCUAACUCCGUGCCAGCAGCCGCGGUAAUAC